UCCAGUUUGAUGGUGGCCGUGUAGGGGUCUGAUGCUCAGGAACGUGAGGUGCACCUGCAGCAAGAGGUGGUGGAGAGGGUAUCUGAGAAGAGAAACAGAAGAUCAAACUUAAAGUCACAGCAAGUAGGUGGCAGAGUGAAGAGCAGAUCCAGCAGAUUCUCUGAACUUCCGGAAAGCCAGCUGCCACAUCAAAAAGACACUCAGCCAGCCUAUGGAGAGGAUUGGGGGUCUCGCUCCAAACUCCAACAUCCAGUGAAGAACUGAGGCCUGCUGCCAACCACAAGAGAGGUCUAGAAGAGGAUUCCAGCCCCAGGCAAGUCUUGAGAUGACUGCAGCCCUGAUGGCCUGACUGCAUUUUUGUGAGUGAUUUUGAGUUAGAAUCUCACAGGUAAGCUGUUUCCAUGUCCCUGACUCUGAACCUGUAUGAGAGUAUAAAUGUUUGCUGUUAUAAGCUGCUAAGUUUGGGGGUGGUUUAUUCUCCAUAAAUAGAUAACCAAUACACUUCCCUAUUUUCAAAAUGUUGGGAACCAGUGAUCAAGCGUACUUUUACAUAUGUCCUUCAGGCCUUACAAGACAAGUUUUAAAUGUUUUAUUACUGAGGAAAUUAAACAGUAUUCAUUGAUGGAGAAAACACAAUAUUUGGAGCCAGAAGGUAGGUGUAAGUUUCCCUUUAUUAGCUGUGAAAACCUGAAAAUCACUUUGCUUCUUUGAGCUUCUCUUUCUUCUUAGAGAAAAUGCAGAUUCCUACAAUGCCUGCCCUGUCUUAAUGUUUAUGCUGAGAAACUAAACCUCAGGGAAGUCAGGUCAUUAGUGGCAGAACCACCUCUUGAACUCUGGUUACCAUUUGCAAAAGCCUUUUCUUGUUCCACCAGACGACGUGGGCUCUUGUUGUCGUAGGAUUUCCUGUUUGCAAGAAAAAUUUGGCUGACCCUUGUUUUAUAAGGCUCAAAGUGCUCAGACAACACUAUAGGGUAAGUGGGUAAGUGGAAUUACUCUUUUCUGCAAGUGAGAAAAGAGAGGCCCCAGAGAGAAAAAGUGAAGUUAAUGUCGCAUA